UACAGAGGUCCCAAGCGUUGUUCGGAUUCACUGGGCGUAAAGGGUGCGUAGGCGGUCGGGUAAGUCUGAUGUGAAAUCUCACAGCUUAACUGUGAAAACUGCAUUGGAUACUAUCCGGCUCGAGGAAUGGAGGGGAGACUGGAAUACUUGGUGUAGCAGUGAAAUGCGUAGAUAUCAAGUGGAACACCAGUGGCGAAGGCGAGUCUCUGGACAUU
rnacentral:rRNA from 1 species